AAUAUUGCGCAAUGGGGGGAACUCUGACGCAGCGACGCCGCGUGAGCGAUGAAGGUCUUCGGUUCGUAAAGCUCUGUCCUUGGGGAAGAAGGUCUUCGGACUUGACGGUACCUAAGGAGGAAGCCCCGGCUAACUACGUGCCAGCAGCCGCGGUAAGACGUAGGUGGCAAGGGUUGUCCGGAUUUAUUGGGCUUAAAGCGCGCUCAGGCGGUCUUUUAAGUCUGAUGUGAAAUCUUACAGCUUAACUGUAAGCGGUCAUUGGAAACUGGGAGACUUGAGUGCAGAAGAGGAGAGUGGAAUUCCAUGUGUAGCGGUGAAAUGCGUAGAGAUAUGGAGGAACACCAGUGGCGAAGGCGACUCUCUGGUCUGUAACUGACGCUGAGGCGCGAAAGCGUGGGGAUCAAACA
rnacentral:rRNA from 1 species